rnacentral:rRNA from 1 species
CACGGAGUUAGCCGGUGCUUCUUCUGUAGUUAACGUCAAUCACCUAGUCUAUUAAACUAGAUGCCUUCCUCGCUACCGAAAGAACUUUACAACCCGAAGGCCUUCUUCAUUCACGCGGCAUGGCUGCGUCAGGGUUGCCCCCAUUGCGCAAUAUUCCCCACUGCUGCCUCCCGUAGGAGUCUGGGCCGUGUCUCAGUCCCAGUGUGGCUGGUCAUCCUCUCAGACCAGCUAGAGAUCGUCGGCUUGGUGAGCCUUUACCUCACCAACUACCUAAUCCCACUUGGGCUCAUCCUAUGGCAUGUGGCCCGAAGGUCCCACACUUUCAUCUCCCGAUUCUACGCGGUAUUAGCUACAGUUUCCCGUAGUUAUCCCCCUCCAUAAGCUAGAUUCCCAAGCAUUACUCACCCGUCCGCCACUCGUCAUCAAAGAGCAAGCUUCUUAUGUUACCGUUCGACUUGCAUGUGUUAAGCCUGCCGCCAGCGUUCAAUCUGAGCCAA